rnacentral:rRNA from 1 species
UACGAAGGGGGCUAGCGUUGCUCGGAAUCACUGGGCGUAAAGGGUGCGUAGGCGGGUCUUUAAGUCAGUGGUGAAAGCCUCCAGCUCAACUGGAGAACUGCCAUUGAUACUGGCGGGCUUGAGUACAGACGAGGUUGGCGGAAUUGAUUGUGUAGCGGUGAAAUGCAUAGAUACAAUCAAGAACACCGAUUGCGUAGGCAGCUAACUAGGCUGUAACUGACGCUGAGGCACGAAAGCGUGGGGAGCGAACAGG